UACAGAGGGUGCGAGCGUUGUCCGGAAUCACUGGGCGUAAAGGGCGCGUAGGUGGCGGGCCAAGUCAGUGGUGAAAGCUCGAUGCUCAACAUCGAGUCGGCCACUGAUACUGGUUUGCUUGAGCACUGUAGAGGCAGAUGGAAUUCCGGGUGUAGCGGUGGAAUGCGUAGAGAUCCGGAAGAACACCGGUGGCGAAGGCGGCCUGCUGGGCAGUAGCUGACGCUGAAGCGCGACAGCGUGGGGAGCAAACAGG
rnacentral:rRNA from 1 species